rnacentral:rRNA from 1 species
GACGAACGCUGGCGGCGUGCUUAACACAUGCAAGUCGAACGAAGUGGCGAACGGGUGAGUAACGCGUAAUCAACCUGCCCUUCAGAGGGGGACAACAGUUGGAAACGACUGCUAAUACCGCAUACUGAAGGAGGGGAUUGCGUCGGAUUGGCAAGUUGGAGGGGUAACGGCCCACCAAGGCGAUGAUCCGGAGCCGGUCUGGGGGGGUGAACGGCCACCUUGGGACUGGGACACGGCCCAGACUCCUAAGGGAGGGAGCGGUGGGGGAUCUUCCGCAAUGGGCGAAAGUCUGACGGCGCAACGCCGCGGGAGUGAUGACGGCCUUCGGGUUGUAAAGCUCUGUUAAUCGGGACGCGGUACCGGAAUAGAAAGCCACGGCUAACUACGUGCCAGCAGCCGCGGUAAUUC